rnacentral:rRNA from 1 species
GCUGGCGGCGUGCUUAACACAUGCAAGUCGAGUGCGCGUUUCCGUAGCAAUACGGAAAUGGCGCACGGCGCACGGGUGCGUAACACGUGGGUAAUCUGCCCUUCGAUGGGGAAUAACUCGCCGAAAGGCGAGCUAAUUCCGCAUAACAUUCCUUGGACUCCGGUUCGAGGAUUCAAAGGCGUAAGUCGUCGGAGGUGGAGCCCGCGCACGAUUAGCUAGUUGGUGAGGUAAUGGCUCACCAAGGCUAUGAUCGUUAGCUGGUCUGAGAGGAUGGCCAGCCACACUGGAACUGAGACACGGUCCAGACUCCUACGGGAGGCAGCAGUGGGGAAUCUUGCACAAUGGGCGAAAGCCUGAUGCAGCGACGCCGCGCGGGGGAUGAAGCUUCUCGGAGUGUAAACCCCUUUCGACCGGGUCGAAUACCUCGCAAGAGGGGUGACGGUACCGGUAUAAGAGGCCCCGGCUAACUACGUGCCAGCAGCCGCGGUAAGACGUAGGGGGCCAGCGUUGCUCGGAAUUACUGGGUGUAAAGGGUUCGUAGGCGGUGUGGCAAGUCGGGAGUGAAAUCUCUGGGCUCAACCCAGGGGCUGCUU